rnacentral:rRNA from 1 species
AACGAACGCUGGCGGCAUGCCUAACACAUGCAAGUCGAACGAUACCUUCGGGUCUAGUGGCGCACGGGUGCGUCACGCGUGGGAACCUGCCCUUAGGUUCUGAAUAACUCCCCGAAAGGGGUUCUAAUGCCGGAUAAUUUCAUCUGCCCCACGAUUUAUCGCCUUUGGAUGGGCCCGCGUUGGAUUAGCUAGUUGGUAGGGUAAAAGCCUACCAAGGCGACGAUCCAUAGCUGGUCUGAGAGGAUGAUCAGCGACACUGGGACUGAGAGACGGCACAGACUCAGACGGAAGGCGGGAGAGGGGAAUAGAGGACAAGGGGGGAAAGGCUGAUCGAGGAAUGCCGCGCGAGAGAUGAAGGGGGUAGGGAGGUAAAGCUGGUUGAGAAGGGAUGGUAAUGACAGUACCGGGAGAAUAAGCUCAGGCUAACUCCGUG